CGCCCAAAGGAGGAGUCAGGCCCAACCUCUAGAUGCCCAGCAGGGGGAAUCCAGGCCUCCCAAAGAUGCAGAGCAACUGGAACUCUUGGAUGUGGCUGCAAGAGUAGACCUGGUCCAACCACUCCGGAAAACCAGGUGGCAGAGGGACAGAGCACAAGCCGGGGGCACCUGGGCACCGUAAGCCCCGCAGGCCACUGCCAAGCACCGGUGAGAUUAAGAUAAUUUAAUACUCUCCGCGAUUCACAGAACAGUGGAAAAGAGCUCUGUUCCCAACGAUUCCCAGCGCCAGCACCAGAGCAGGCAGCUCAUUCAUCUUUAUUAGGCGUGUUCCAGAAAAAGCCUGAGAGCGAGAUCACUCAAGUCACCCCAGGAUCCUCAGCCCACCCCAAGGCAGGAUGAGCAGCCAGCGCAGGCGAGAAGGAAAUUCAUGCAUUAUGGAUGAGGACUAUUUCUUAUUCAGCAGCCAAGACUGGCUCUUCUAUCAAA
ensembl:lncRNA